rnacentral:rRNA from 1 species
GUCUACAGCCAUACCACCCUAAAUGUGCCCGAUCUGAUCUCGGAAGCUAAGCAGGGUCGGGCCUGGUUAGUACUUGGAUGGGAGAGAUACGUGUUCUCAGAGCCUUCUGACCUGUUCAGGGGCAGAUA